AGGCCUGGAGCAGCAGCCUGCCACGGCCGGGCAGGAGCCCCGUUGGGGAGCCAGCCGCCGGCACCGCGCUGCCCACGUCGCCCUGCUCUGCUGCUGAAGACAACCGCCUGACGCCGCGGCUGGCUGUGCUCGGGGCCCGCCGGGCUGUCUCGGUCCACGAGGAGCAGCUCAGGGAGCCAGAGUGCCUGGCGGAGCUGGGAACUGCCACAAUUCCCCUCCGUCUGCGGCGGUCGCCUGUGCUGAAACGGAGACCAGAGGCGAGUGGUGAGCCGAGGCCGGCGGCGGAGGCAGGAGGCACCGCAGCGCAGGACCGGCUGCAGGCUGCGCCGGAUGAGACACGGACGGCAACCAGUGUGUUGCACGGGGAGCGGCCGCCAGCCGCAGCACAGACUGUUGUGUGUGCACAAGACUCAGCCGUAGACCAAAGAAGCCCCGUGCAGGGCCUCGGGGAGCCGGCCCUGGGACAGUGAGCCCCUGCAUGCCGCCGCACUGUUCCCAAUAAAACCCUGCAAGCGAGCGCACGGUGAUGGGGUGAUUAGCAAUGGGGAUGUAGGGCCGCUCCGCGCCCUGCUCCCCGCAUCUGGGCAGCCUCACCAUCUCCUCCAGAAGGAAGCAGCCCAAGGGCAUUGGCGCAGAAGGACUGGGGCUGUCGGGCUGGACUCCAGCGGGGCACAGAGCUGCAGCCCCAGAGCCUCCACGAAGGGCGGAGGAGCACAGAGCACCAUCCCCAUCUCUGGAGCAUGGGCGCAGGCUGCUGUGCUGCAGGUGUUGGCAGGGAAUGCUGGCACGGUUAGGACACCUGCCCCUCCAGCACCCCGAGGCCCAUGGAUCUCGCAGCAUGAUCUCCAACCAUCACCUUUCCAACCACUGCCCUGCCGCUCCCAGCCACCACCAGCAUUACCCCAAAGCCCACUUUGGCUUUCUCCCGUGGCAACCGCAAGCAGAUCAUCUCCCUUCCACCUCUGGAUCAAAUGCAUUCCCUGCACCGAUGUUUACGACACAGAAGCAAGAUGCUUGGUUGGUUUUUUUUUGUUUGUUCCCCUCUCCCGUCCCCCGCCUUUUUUUUUUUAAUACGAGAGCUGGGUAUUUAAAAAAUAUAUGACUUUUAAUUUUAACAACACAUACCUUGCUGGAUAUUUUGUAAGAAAGAGUGUGGAACUCAACGAAACUGAGUCAAUAAAUGUCCAAAUGCU